GUAAAGCACUUUCGCCAGAGAUGAUAAUGACAGUAUCUGGUAAAGAAACCCCGGCUAACUCCGUGCCAGCAGCCGCGGUAAUACGGAGGGGGUUAGCGUUGUUCGGAAUUACUGGGCGUAAAGCGCACGUAGGCGGAUUAGUAAGUUAGAGGUGAAAUCCCAGGGCUCAACCCUGGAACUGCCUUUAAUACUGCUAGUCUUGAGUUCGAGAGAGGUAAGUGGAAUUCCGAGUGUAGAGGUGAAAUUCGUAGAUAUUCGGAGGAACACCAGUGGCGAAGGCGGCUUACUGGCUCGAUACUGACGCUGAGGUGCGAAAGUGUGGGGAGCAAACAGGAUUAGAUACCCUGGUAGUCCACACCGUAAACGAUGAAUGCCAGACGUCAGCAAGUAUACUUGUUGGUGUCACACCUAACGGAUUAAGCAUUCCGCCUGGGGAGUACGGUCGCAAGAUUAAAACUCAAAGGAAUUGACGGU
rnacentral:rRNA from 1 species